rnacentral:rRNA from 1 species
AUGAACGCUGGCGGCGUGCUUAACACAUGCAAGUCGAACGGUGAACACGGAGCUUGCUCUGUGGGAUCAGUGGCGAACGGGUGAGUAACACGUGAGCAACCUGCCCCCGACUCUGGGAUAAGCGCUGGAAACGGCGUCUAAUACUGGAUAUGUGACGUGACCGCAUGGUCUGCGUUUGGAAAGAUUUUUCGGUUGGGGAUGGGCUCGCGGCCUAUCAGCUUGUUGGUGAGGUAAUGGCUCACCAAGGCGUCGACGGGUAGCCGGCCUGAGAGGGUGACCGGCCACACUGGGACUGAGACACGGCCCAGACUCCUACGGGAGGCAGCAGUGGGGAAUAUUGCACAAUGGGCGCAAGCCUGAUGCAGCAACGCCGCGUGAGGGAUGACGGCCUUCGGGUUGUAAACCUCUUUUAGCAGGGAAGAAGCGAAAGUGACGGUACCUGCAGAAAAAGCGCCGGCUAACUACGUG